UUGUUUUUGUGAAACCCAAAAGGAGGAAGCGACCUCAAUCACCCAGUCAUCGGAGAAACACCAUCCAAUCACCCCUCGUUGCUGCUUCAUUCCCUAACCACCGGCGACACCAAGAAAUACCCCAACACCACUGAGGACCACCUUGCUCCACCACGUCACCACCGCAGCUGCCCACCACCCUCUAUUCCUCCACUGCCUUUACCGAUUAAAUUCUCAAUGACUGAUUUCAGUUAAGCUUCUGAUUUAAAUCAUAAAUUUCACAACAAAACGAAAAUCACAUUUCAAGACACCCAUAUAAUUUCCCUUGUCUAGUUUGCAGAUCUGGGUAUACAACUUCAAUUUCUCUUUUAAUCAUUUCAUCUAGGGAGUUGUGAAGACUGAGGAAGCUGGAGAACUUUUAACAACCACUUUAUGAAGACGAUGUCAAGCUUUGUUGUUACAAAAGAAGAUUUCCCAAUUGAAUCCUUCAGAAGACGAAGAACACCACCACUUCCUCUUCAUCUGUCUACAUCUCUCUCCUUCUCUUCCUGCCCCCUUCUAUUUUCCUAAAACCCUAACACCACCUCCUUCUCCUUUCAAGAUCUGUAAGAACGAGUCUAGAUUAGGGUUUCAUUUUGGUUUCAAGAUCUGAAAUCUAUCACCACCAUUAUCCUGGUGAAGGUUUACGAAACCCUAACAAUGGCGUUGAAGGUGAAGAAGGUUUAGAUGACGAUGUAUUUAUGCAGAUGGCAGACCUUCGAUCUUCUUGUUUGUUUUCAAUCUUUUGAUUCGUCUGACCACCUCCCCAGUAUCGGAUCUGUAGGAGAGAUGGAGAGAAAGGUAGUGUUUCACCUCAGAUGAGAGAAGAAGAAGAAAAAGAAGAAGAAGAAGAAGAAGAAGAAGAAGAAGAAGAAAAAUGGUGUUACUGUUGGAUCUAUGAUGACAAUGUUGUUUUACAGAUGUAGGUGUUGACCGGUGGUGUCGUGGUGGUGGAGGUUGUUGUGUUGGCCGGUGUUGGUGGUUGUAUUGUUGACUAAUGAUGGUGGCGUUGAUGAAGGGGGUAUAAGGUGGAGAGAGAGAGAGAGAGAGAGAGAGAGAGAAUUUUUUUUUUCUUUUUUGUUCUUUUUAUUUGCAUAAUAAAUAAAUUGACAAAAAAAAUAUACAAGGGCAAAAUCGUCAUUAUAAAAGAGUUCAAAGCAAAGUGGACCAAACUCGCAACAAAAUGAAAAGUUUGGACCUCCAGUGCUAGUCAAAACUUUUUUGGACCAAAGUGUCAAUUUUCAGCUAACCACAGGGACCAUUUGUGCAGUUUAGUCCUUUUUUUUUGCUAAAAAAACAAUGAUUUCUUAUGUAGUUCUAAUAUCUUUUGUUGUAUUACAGGUUUCUUAUUUCACAGAUAACAUUCAACUAAUAUUAGAUGCUAUGCAAAGUUCGAAAGUUGUGGAAGUGCAGGGUGAGCAGAUACGGAGGCGAAAUGAUUGGAUGAUGCUUGUAGGAGGUCCAUCAAGUCCUCAAGUUGUUGUUGGGAGAUCUUCAAAUGAUAAUGAAGAGUUAGUGUCACAGCUUUUGGGUGUUCAUCUCGCAACUUCUCAAGAAAAAUUCACUACUCAUGGAGGUUCAAUGGCUUGAAACUUAUACCAAACCUUUUAACUAAAAAUUCAAACAUUUUGAAAAGUUCGGUUCUUGAUGAUCAUAUGAUAUGAAGACUUGUAAUUCUCCUUACAACCAGGAUCCUACUGAUUAUUUUGUCACAUCGGAUCAGCUCUUGCAACCCCUGAUGAUUUGCUAUGAUUCCUUGGUAUGCAAAACAUCCAUUCCAUUUACUUUCUGACACGUGUCAACCUCUGUCAGGGGUAGUGGGUGUUGGUAUUCAAAAUUAAGACUGUUGUAGAGUACAAACACUCAACAACACAAUUGAAUAAGACAAAAGAAGAAAAGGAAUGGAGGUUCUUCAGUACCCCCUCCCCCACGCUAUCCCUCCCACCCCAAUCGGAAGAUGCGAAACGGGCACUGUAUUCAACUUCAACUCCAACUCAUUCAGAAUCAGAACUUGUGCCUUUCAAUGAUCAUAACUCCGACCCGCUUGUCUUGUAUGGUAUGGGCUGUAUUGAACCUUGGAUUCUUGGCAAAGGGUAUCAUGUGGCAUAAGAAUAACAAUAAGAAUUAGAAACAAGAAGGUGUUCCUUAAUAGCAAUGUAGUAUUAGGUUAUAUAGUUAGGGAAAACCUCUUAAUAAUAAUGUACAAUCAGAUCCCCUUAAUACCAAUGUAUUAUAAUUUUUUGACUUGAUGUUAUAGGAUGAAAUUGAUUGUUUUGGUA